AUUUAUUAAUAUUUUAUUUUAAUGGUGGUACUGAGGAUUGGGCCCAGGACUUUGCGCAUGCUAAGCACAUGCUCUACUACUGAGCUCUACCCUCCCCACCUACUCUGCCAUUGUUGCACAAAAAGUGGCCACACUCGGUGGCUCACAGCGAAAGAGAAUGUGACAAUGAAUGUAUGUAUGUUCAUGUAUAAUUGGAAAAUUGUGCUCUACACUGGAAUUUGAC